UGGGGAAUAUUGCACAAUGGGCGCAAGCCUGAUGCAGCAACGCCGCGUGAGGGACGACGGCCUUCGGGUUGUAACCUCUUUUAGUAGGGAAGAAGCGAAAGUGACGGUACCUGCAGAAAAACGCACCGGCUAACUACGUGCCAGCAGCCGCGGUAAUACGUAGGGUGCGAGCGUUGUCCGGAAUUAUUGGGCGUAAAGAGCUCGUAGGCGGUCUGUCGCGUCUGCUGUGAAAACCCGAGGCUCAACCUCGGGCCUGCAGUGGGUACGGGCAGACUAGAGUGCGGUAGGGGAGAAUGGAAUUCCUGGUGUAGCGGUGGAAUGCGCAGAUAUCAGGAGGAACACCGAUGGCGAAGGCAGUUCUCUGGGCCGUAACUGACGCUGAGGAGCGAAAGCGUGGGGAGCGAACAGGAUUAGAUACCCUGGUAGUCCACGCCGUAAACGUUGGGCGCUAGAUGUGGGGACCAUUCCACGGUUUCCGUGUCG
rnacentral:rRNA from 1 species